CCUACGGGAGGCAGCAGUGGGGAAUAUUGCACAAUGGGCGAAAGCCUGAUGCAGCAACGCCGCGUGAGCGAUGAAGGCCUUCGGGUCGUAAAGCUCUUUCCUCAAGGAAGAUAAUGACUGUACUUGAGGAGGAAGCCCCGGCUAACUACGUACCAGCAGCCGCGGUAAUACGUAGGGGGCUAGCGUUAUCCUGAAUUACUGGGCGUAAAGGGGGCGUAGGUGGUUUCUUAAGUCAGAGGUGAAAGUCUCCGGCUCAACCGUAGUAAGCAUUUGACACUGGGAAACUUGAGUGCAGUAGAGGAGAGUGGAAUUCCUGGUGUAGCGGUGAAAUGCGUAGAUAUUAGGAGGAACACCAGUUGCGAAGGCGGCUCUCUGGACUGUAACUGACACUGAGGCACGAAAGCGUGGGGAGCAAACAGGAUUAGAUACCCUUGUAGUC
rnacentral:rRNA from 1 species